GACGAACGCUGGCGGCGUGCCUAAUACAUGCAAGUAGAACGCUGAAGGAGGAGCUUGCUCUUCUGGAUGAGUUGCGAACGGGUGAGUAACGCGUAGGUAACCUGCCUGGUAGCGGGGGAUAACUAUUGGAAACGAUAGCUAAUACCGCAUAACAGUAGAUGUUGCAUGACAUUUGCUUAAAAGGUGCAAUUGCAUCACUACCAGAUGGACCUGCGUUGUAUUAGCUAGUUGGUGGGGUAACGGCUCACCAAGGCGACGAUACAUAGCCGACCUGAGAGGGGGAUCGGCCACACUGGGACUGAGACACGGCCCAGACUCCUACGGGAGGCAGCAGUAGGGAAUCUUCGGCAAUGGACGGUAGUCUGACCGAGCAACGCCGCGUGAGUGAAGAAGGUUUUCGGAUCGGAAAGCUCGGUUGUAAGAGAAGAACGAGUGUGAGAGUGGAAAGUUCACACUGUGACGGUAUCUUACCAGAAAGGGACGGCUAACUACGUG
rnacentral:rRNA from 1 species